AAAGAAUUUCCAGAGCGAGUGCACCUGGGGCCAUCAGAUGUCAGCAUAUGGGCUUGUCCCCUCUUUACCUCCCAGUCCCUGGUGUUAUUUAUAGAAACACAAUGCAUUUUUUUUUUCCCUAGGGGGAAGUUGAUCCCGAGGCCACUGAAAUAGCCAAAUAUUUCUCUGGCCUUCCAUCCCACCUCCAGGGAGACACCUGGAGGAGCAGAUCCCCAGGGAAUUCAGAACAGCUGCCACGGAACCUCCCCUGAAACUGCAAGCGCAUUCCCGGCACGCCUGCUCAGCAACCUGAGGAGCUGGGCUUGUCUCUUUCCUUCCUAGCACUUCCAGGUAUCUUGGGGAAAAAAAGGAGCAUCUAUGAUGAGUCUGGCAACUCCCCACACUGCAUUCUCCACCAUGCACCAGUACAUCAAAGGCUCUGAAAAGUCCUGCAGCUAAGAACCACAUUUAACUGUGCCUGUCCAGCAUUCGACCUCAGAAUCUUCCUUUCUUAGACCUAGUAACACUACUUAGGAAAUGCUGCUGGAGCACAAUCCUCUCAUUCCACAGCUGAGGUUCUGGGAGGCCCGGUGACUUGCUGGAGGACAACACACAGGCACCAGCUGAGAGACAGAAUUUUUGGAAGAACUUAGGGAAGAAACUAAGAAAAGACAACAGCACACAGCAACAAGCAGUCACCCGGGCCUCUCAUGUCACCGAGAACAUUAUGGUGGGCACCUGUGAGCUCUUCCUGACUGCCUGACUUCUGAGAUGUUUUCCCGACCACCCUGCUUCACCCAGGGCAGAGUUGCCAACUCCUUGAUGCCUCCUGUGUUGCAAUCACAAUCAGAUGAGGUCCCAGGGCCCCGGGGUGGGCAGCAGCUCACCGUAGCCGUGCUCG